CGCCUGCGCGCUGCGGCCGCUCGGUGCCGGCCCCGCUGGCGCCGCCCGCAGCUCCCGCGGCUCCUCUGCCUAUUUUAGUCACAGUCGCGGCUCCGUGCCCGCCGUGGGACCGCCAGCGGUGACGAGCGGCAGCCCUGGGCUGUGGCCGUCCUGUCCGGGCGGCCGGGAAAGUUUUCCGCGGGGCAGGAGUCUCCAAGAUGAAUACCACAGCAAUGAGCCCACUCACUGUUACUCCACUAGGUUUUGUUCCAGACUUAAAAAAUUCCACCCUUGAUCCUUUCAAUGAGACUGCAUGUGAAAACUGGAAAGAGAUUCAUCAUCUUGUUUUCCACGUGGCAAACAUUUGCUUUGCAGUUGGGCUGGUCAUUCCAACCUCUUUGAACCUUCAUAUGAUUCUCCUGCGAGGCCUGCUCACCAUAGGAUGUGCAUUAUUCAUCAUUUGGGCUACACUCUAUCGUUGUGCCUUGGACAUAAUGAUCUGGAAUUCUGUGUUUUUGGUUGUCAACCUUUUGCAUUUCAUAUACCUUGUGUAUAAAAGGAGGCCGAUCAAGAUAGAGAAGGAACUUAGCAGCCUCUACAAGAGAAUGUUUGAACCUCUCCAUGUGCCUCCAGAGCUCUUCCAAAGACUAACUGGACAAUUCUGCAACAUUCAGACUUUGAAGACAGGUCAAGCCUAUGCAGCAGAAGAUAAAACAUCAGUUGAUGAUAGGCUAAGCAUCCUGCUGAAGGGGAAAAUGAAGGUGUCUUAUCGAGGGCAUUUUCUGCAUAAUAUUUACCCCUGUGCCUUUAUAGAUUCUCCUGAAUUUCGAUCAACGCAGAUGAACCGGGGUGAGAAAUUCCAGGUUACCAUUAUUGCAGAUGAUAACUGCAAGUUCCUGUGCUGGUCCAGGGAACGACUGACUUUCUUUCUGGAGUCUGAGCCAUUUCUUUAUGAGAUCUUUAAGUACCUUAUUGGCAAAGAUAUUACAAAUAAACUUUAUUCAUUGAAUGACCCAACCUUAAAUGACAAGGCUUCAAAGAAGAUUGACCGGCAGCCCAGCCUCUGCUCUCAGCUCUCGGUGAUGCAGAUGAGGAACAGCAUGGCCAGCACCAGUGACAGCGAGGACGGCCUGCAGAUGUUCCUUCGUGGGACUUCCUCUGCAUCCUCUCUUCUGACAGGUCCAGCAGAGCGCCUUCCCUAGAUGACUCAUCCAUCAUGAAGGAAUUGCCUGCUACCUUCAGGGAUCUCCUGGACUGCCUGCUCCCACCCUGAUACCAGGGUGGUUAAAACUCCCCAGGAGCACCAAGGCCUGUGAUCCAGUUGUUGAAAGAAGGCUUCCUUCUCCUUGCUCUUCUUGAUCAGGCAGCCUGUAGAGAUUCCUGCUGAGAAGUCUCCUGUGCUGGUCUGUUCUCUGAUCUUUGCCUUUAAACCCUCGAGUGGCUUUUCACCUGUUCCACACACAGCAAAGUUCCAUUAAUUGAAGCCACUCCUUUGCAUAGAGAGCCUUUGGGUGAACUUGCACACUCAGAAAUUGUAAAACUGUGUUUGUGUGAUUAAAGUGUCUCUUUCAGGCUUAACAGCAAAACUCUUACACCAGUAUUUCAGCUUUGGGAGAAAGCACUUGAAAUGCAUGGCAAGUUGAGCUGUAAUUGUAUAAAUCUCCAAGAUGCACUUGUGCUUAGCACAUACUUGAUAAAUACACUUUUCUCUGUUGUACUUUUCCUUGCUUUGUGUACCUUUUUUUGGUAUACAGGGUGUGCUUUACCCAAGAGAAGGGGUUUAUGUGUCUUUUAUGUUCAGAAAUUCCUCAGCCCAGCUGAGGCAGCAGCUUCCCAAGUCCAAUGCUCUCCCUUACUUUUGGGGAGGCAGAGGGAUUGCCCCUACAGCAGUGCAACACACACCUUGGGAAGCAUUGUUAUUUAUUUCUUCUUUGUAUUUUGAUUGUGAAAUUUCUGACUUCUGUAAAAGGUUUGUUCAUCUCCUUGAACUGUAAUGCUUCAAUCUCUGUUUUUGCCAAGAUAGCUUGUUAGUUAUUCCUGGGUGCUGUCAUUGCCAAUGAUGGGGUUGGUGCCAAGGUGAGCUCUGCUUAAAGAUUUGUAUUCAGUGUGGAUUGUGGCCAGGUAUGCCCUUUUUUCAGAUCACAGGGAAAACUGAAAAAAAUAUCUGCCAUUUGCCUUGUCAUUGGUAUGUUUUCAAAAAUCUUCUGCUAGGUGCUCUCAGUGCAACAGCUGGGGUAUUUUUUUUCGUCUGUUUUUUUAAGAUUUACUGUAAGGUACAUGCUGAGGCUUCCAGUUCCAGUGCUGUUCCCUGGAUCCUCCUUCUACAGGCAUACAUUUGUUCAUUUAGAACAAACACAAUCUAAAAUCCUCAAAAGAUUUUGUGAGAAACAUAUGGAAAUGUCAAUAUUUUUUUUAUUUUUAUAAAAUUAGAAUAAAAAAUGAAUGAAGGGAACUUACCUGUACAGGAACUCUGUAGGAAUACUGUUUUGUCAUUGCUAGGUGAUUGUUGUGUGGACAAAGCCUCCCACUACAAAUAUAACUUUGACUUCUAUAAUCCAAAAAAGUUUUCUUCUCCCAAUUUCCACAUUCUUGAACAAAUGAGCAUUUAUAUUUUUGUAUAAUCCCAUCUUUUAAAAUUAUGCAUUUAUCAGUGUUAUAAAUUAUAAGCUUUGACUCAUAUUCUCAAGAAAUUAAUAUUAAUCCUAUUUCAAAGUGUUUAGUAAUAAAAGGGUUAAAAUUACUAAUUAGUAGGUCCCAAGCUACAAUUACUAACAAAAGUAUGUUUUUCAUUUAAUUAAUUAAGAAACCCAACUAACUGUUUGCUUUUAUAUUAAGGAAAUAACCAACAAGAGUUCUAUAAUGCUUACGGAGUGAGUCGUUUGCAGCAUGAUGUUUUCUGUUGAUAACAUCACAUUAACUCAGCAGGCAUCCUCAAAAAGGCCCAGGCCGCACAUCUCCCUACCUGAGAACUUCAGCAAAGAUGAAGCCCAUCGAGGAGAGUGUUGAAGAUGAUGUCUUUGAAGCACCAGCUGCUGAUAAGCUCGAGCUCCAGCGGCUGCCUUAGACAGUUGUGUCCUCAGGUGGAUCAGAGCUUGCACAGAGCUCCAGUGCAACAGGAGGGAGCUGAAUUUGGGAGGAAUCUGAAGCUAAGCCCACCUCUCCAUGUUUGAAUUUACUGCAGCAUAUGCCAAUGGUUUCUAGAUGGAAAUGUCAUGUUUUAUUUUACUUCUAAAUAAAAUAAAUGAAAACUUG